rnacentral:rRNA from 1 species
CCUACGGGUGGCAGCAGUCGAGAAUCAUUCACAAUGGGGGAAACCCUGAUGGUGCGACGCCGCGUGGGGGAAUGAAGGUCUUCGGAUUGUAAACCCCUGUCAUGUGGGAGCAAAUUAAAAAGAUAGUACCACAAGAGGAAGAGACGGCUAACUCUGUGCCAGCAGCCGCGGUAAUACAGAGGUCUCCAGCGUUGUUCGGAAUCACUGGGCGUAAAGCGUGCGUAGGCUGUUUCGUAAGUCGUGUGUGAAAGGCGCGGGCUCAACCCGCGGACGGCACAUGAUACUGCGAGACUAGAGUGAUGGAGGGGGAACCGGAAUUCUCGGUGUAGCAGUGAAAUGCGUAGAUAUCGAGAGGAACACUCGUGGCGAAGGCGGGUUCCUGGACAUUAACUGACGCUGAGGCACGAAGGCCAGGGGAGCGAAAGGGAUUAGAUACCCGUGUAGUC